rnacentral:lncRNA from 1 species
AUCUCUCAUCAGGACCAGUCUGACUGCACCUGCAUCCUUAGCUCAGAGCAUCCCUGGAGCAUCUAAGAGGAAAGCGCAGCUAGCAACCAGGGAUCGUACUGCAGGGGCAAUCGGUCAUGCACCUUCCCCUCCCCUGAUCUGGAGGUCUACAGCCGCGGCCUCGGUACUGACCGAGAUUCCCAAAGUUGUCUGACCUCUGCAAAAGUGUUUCUAUCAACAGCCUCUGAUUACAACAUGGCUGAGAUCACAAAUAUACGCCCCAGCUUUGGGGUGUGCUGGAGAGCUUCGCGUACCUACAAGGAAUACUUGCACUGGUCAGCAUCCUUCUGUGGGCCUGCAAUCCUAACCGACAAGGGCACAGAAGGCAGCUGUGCUCACACGGCUCUGAGAGCUCCCUUCACAGGCACUCCUCUGACCCAAGGAGUAACAACACACAGAACAAGCAGCAAGGCACAACUCCUUUCCUCGGAGGGGCAACUGGACAGCCUUUAACCCUUUAAAAACCAGGGACUGAUUUUCACGGGUUCUGACUUCAGCACUGCAUCAUCCAGAUAAAAAAACAUUACACUUUGGUUAUUCGCUCUGGAUGCCAGUGAGAUGUCUCAAUAGACAAACCUGCCCCUGAGCCUGCUGAUGGCCUGAACUUACUUCCUGGGACCCACAUGGUAGAGGGAGAAACAACAGCCAAAGCUGUCCGGUGUACUAUGGUAAGUACUUUACCAAUGAGCUACAUGCCCGGUCUCCUUGAAUGUAUAGAAGACAGAGAGAAUAAAUUACAAAUCUCCUGUGCCCUAAGAAUCACAGCAAACACAUUAAAGACUCGAGUCUUUCACUGCCAAUCUCAACCUGGACUUGACACAGUCAUCUCCUACCAGUCUUCUUGGCGGUUUUAUGAGGGCUGCAGUCAAUGCUGACUUGGGUGAAGUCUUCAAUGAGCCGCAUAGCUCCCAUCCAGUUACAAGGCUGGAAUAAGGUCUGGAACCUGGGGUUGAACUGCUGGUGAAGGGCAAUGGAAUUCUCAGCAAAGGUGCCCAGCUCUUUCUGGGAAGAAAGGACACAAAGGAGUUCUCAGACACCUCCAGAUCCUAGCAGUGACCUCAAGGUCUCCAAAGAAGAUGAUGGGUCACAGAAGAACUCCACCUGGAACAUGCUUUAACUGUGGCGAGGACAGCUUCUAUGAAACACUGCCCUUCACCUUGCCCACGGCACAGCCUCUACGAACUGAGGACCAAGUGCGAUACUGGGGAGCUGACUGGCCCACUUUGCCUAGACAACAUAGACUGGUCCUCCAAGCCCCUCCUCCACAGGAAGGUCUGUUGGAUCUUUUGGGCCUGAUGGCCAAAGGCUGUCCAUAGAGCUUGAUUGUCAGGUAGCCAGUAAGGAUCUAUUAUGUUUAAUAGACUCAGGACCUACUUGAUGUAUACUUAUUGAAUCACUGUUGGGUUCCGAGCUCCUACUAUGACUCAAACACGUGAGUCUAUUGACUUUUCUGCAAUGUGGAUCUCAAUAGAAAUUACACAGUGGUAAUGCUAACAUAUGUAAAAUUUUAUCUUUUGAUAAACUUAAAAUUCUUGUAAGUUGAAUGGAACUGAUUUGAAUUGUCCUCUCCCAGGUAAAAUAGACUCCAUAUAAAUACUGUCAC